rnacentral:tRNA from 1 species
GCCCCCAUCGUCUAGUGGCCUAGGACGUAGCCCUCUCAAGGCUAAAACCGGGGUUCGAGUCCCCGUGGGGGCACCA